UAAGGAAUAUUGCUCAAUGGGAGAAAUCCUGAAGCAGCAACGCCGCGUGGAGGAUGAAGGGCUUUCAGCUUGUAAACUCCUGUAAAGAAGGAAAAAAUUCCCAUUAGAUGGGAAAUGAUGGUACUUCUAAAGUAAGCCCCGGCUAACUACGUGCCAGCAGCCGCGGUACUACGUAGGGGGCCAGCGUUGUCCGGAUGUACUGGGUGUAAAGGGUGCUCAGGCGGAUUUGUAAGUCAGAGGUGAAAUCUCACAGCUUAACUGUGAAACUGCCGUGGAUACUGCAAGUCUAGAGUAUGGAAGAGAGUGAUGGAAUGUCUGGUGUAGCAGUGAAAUGCGUAGAUAUCAGAUAGAACACCAAUGGCGAAGGCAGUCACUUGGUCCAUUACUGACGCUAAAGCACGAAAGCGUGGGUAGCAAACA
rnacentral:rRNA from 1 species